rnacentral:rRNA from 1 species
CCUACGGGAGGCAGCAGUGAGGAAUAUUGGUCAAUGGGCGUAAGCCUGAACCAGCCAAGUCGCGUGAGGGAUGAAGGUUCUAUGGAUCGUAAACCUCUUUUAUAAGGGAAUAAAGUGUGGGACGUGUCCUGUUUUGUAUGUACCUCAUGAAUAAGGAUCGGCUAACUCCGUGCCAGCAGCCGCGGUAAUACGGAGGAUCCGAGCGUUAUCCGGAUUUAUUGGGUUUAAAGGGUGCGUAGGCGGCCUUUUAAGUCAGAGGUGAAAGUCUGUGGCUCAACCAUAGAAUUGCCGUUAAUACUGGGAAGCUUGAGAAUGUUUGAGGCAGGCGGAAUGCGUGGUGUAGCGGUGAAAUGCUUAGAUAUCACACAGAACCCCGAUUGCGAAGGCAGCUUACUAAACUAUGACUGACAUUGAUGCUCGAAAGUGUGGGUAUCAAACAGGAUUAGAUACCCCUGUAGUC